AUACGGAAGGUCCGGGCGUUAUCCGGAUUUAUUGGGUUUAAAGGGAGCGCAGGCGGAGAUGCAAGCGUGACGUCAAAUUUCGGGGCUCAACCCCGUCUCGCGUCGCGAACUGCGUCCCUUGGUUGCGGGAAGGGGAGGCGGAACUCGUGGUGUAGCGGUGAAAUGCAUAGAUAUCACGAAGAACUCCGAUCGCGAAGGCAGCCUUCCGGCCCGUCAACGACGCUCAUGCUCGAAGGUGCGGGUAUCAAACAGGAUUAGAUACCCUGGUAGUCCGCACAGUAAACAAUGGACACCCGCGGUUUGGCCUGUAUGGCUGAGCCGCCAAGCGAAAGCGUUAAGUGUCCCACCUGGGGAGUACGCCGGCAACGGUGAAACUCAAAUGAAUUGACGGGG
rnacentral:rRNA from 1 species